CAUUGAGGCAGGUGUUGUUUUAACCAAAACUUGAGGGGACCACUGUGUAUAAGAAAACUGAUCAAAGUUGCUUGGAAAGCUUGCACCAUAGAGCAGAUGAUGCUCUCAACUUCCUGAACAUUCUUCAUGCUGCGAAACACCAGAGCAGGGCCAGCAGUUAUCCCUUCCCCCUCUACUGCUCCUGCCUUGGGCUCUGAAUCACUCAGAGACAGGACAUUUCCUAAAGGAAGCAGUGAUGAAGCUGAGCAUCGUAACCCAGGCUCCAGCAACAGAUGCUGUUACACUGUGUUGCUACCACAGUGUCCUAUUGCUUUAGUUGUCAGGAAGUGACAUGCCUGAAAGCCAAAAGCGUUGCUUGUCUGCAUUCCCAUGUUACUCUUUGGCCUUAUAAAGCUUGUUUCACUUCACACACACGUGUAAAUCAGGAAAGAAAGGUUGGUGUCACCCACUGCUCAUGUGCAGGGCAAACACUGAAACUGCCAUCAGUGGCAUGUCCUGAAGUGCUUUCUCUUUGCCAUCCAUAUGCAUUUCAAGCAGAGUCUGGCAGUUUGCUUCCUCACUGGAGCCCGGCUGCAGCAGCCCCUCAGUGUGUGCUUUCCCAAAGGAAUCCAGGCCUGUCUGUGAGCUGUUCUGCCUGGACAGACCCAGGGGGAAUCAUGGUGGUCAGCAGGGCUCCAGCGGAUGGAGGUGCCAGUGGGUGGUUCAGCAGGCAGGAGCAGAAUAGAAGCUGUAUCAGCGCUAACAAAUGUGGUUUCUGUGUUUAUCAGGCCUGUCUCUGCUGCCUCCGGGACAUGAGCCUUUGAUUAGAUAAGUUUGAAGUGUUUUUCCAUGUCAUCAAUGAGAAGAGGUGGGAACUUGAAAUAUUUGAACAAGUUACACUAACAAUUGCAGCACUAAAGCUCUCCCAGUGUUACAAGAAAUAUAUUAACUUGGAGGACACACAACAUAAAAAUGUCCAUUUUGCGUAUCUGAAAUGCUGCAGAGACGGACCGGACAGCAAAGAGGGGGGAGGACAAGCUUGAUGCCCCUCUUUUAGCCUGCAAAGAGGAGCAAGUCCCUCUCUCAAUGAAAGGGAGACCCAUUCAUGCACUGUUCUGUUGGCCACUAUUAAAACCCAGGAUUCUCAACAUCCCACCCAGACUACUUGGGAAAUCCACAGAGAAGACCUCUUGGAUUAUAACUACAAUCUACCAUGUAAUGAAGACAAUCAGGCUCAGGGAACACCUCCAACUGCUGCUCACUCCACAUCUUUAACAUCAUUUCUUGUUAAGGAGGCUCAUUUAGCUCAUCAAAGACACUUGAUUCAAACUGGGCUGUGCUGAACCUCGGUCAUCGCUGAGAAAAGCCACCGUUGAAGAUGGGAAUCCCCAGCAGAGCCUCUCCACUGUUAACUGGACCUCUGGUUGACCUCCAGCACAAGAGGAACACUGUCCCACG